CGACUCUCGGCAACGGAUAUCUCGGCUCUCGCAUCGAUGAAGAACGUAGCGAAAUGCGAUACUUGGUGUGAAUUGCAGAAUCCCGUGAACCAUCGAGUCUUUGAACGCAAGUUGCGCCUGAGGCCACUCGGCCGAGGGCACGCCUGCCUGGGCGUCAC
rnacentral:rRNA from 1 species